GUUUUUCUCACCUUAUGCCUGUGUUAAAGCGCUCUGUGUCACUGCAUGAGAAGAGCAGUCCUUCAGUGGUUCUGCCAGUCGACAUGUUUUCUGUCUGCAGACUGAGUCUUAGAUCCCUGUCAGAGACUGAAUGUGGGCCAGGAAGGUCAUUGACUGAGACUGACAGCUCCCUCACAGUGGCGCAAAUUGCUGGUGAACCACAGAGUGGCAGGCUGUUUUCAUGUAGAGGAACCAGAGGCGGUAAGGAGGAUAAGGCAGCAGAAAGACCUUCAAACUAAAACGCAGCAGGAGUCAGAUAGAGAGCAUCAUUAGUCUUCCCCACCUUACAAAGAACUAAGCAAGUGAAGGCAUCUGAACUACACACCUUGGGCAAGUUAACAGCUUGCUGCAGUUUCCCCAGCGGGGCUCUUUUAAAACCAAAAAAAAAGGUUGAUGUUGAGUGGAGAGAAUUUCGAGAGAAAUGGACUGUCAAACAUUUUUUUAAUAGAGUACAAUGGAAAUGUCUCUUCAAAUAAAGAGCAGUUAUGAAAGAAGAUAAUGAUAGGUGGUGUUAGACAAAAAAGAAUUGUUGUGAGUCGAGCA